GCGCAUUCUCAGGGCAGGGUGAAAGUCCCUACCGGUGGUAAGCAUGAAGGAAUGUUUCAAUGCAAGCCCACGAGCGUUUAUCGACAAAAGUGCGGUCGUUUUUGACGGCGUUUUUUCGAUAAAGUCAGCAGAUUUGGUGCGAAUCCAAAGCCGACAGUGACAGUCUGGAUGAAAGAGAAUAAAA
rnacentral:ncRNA from 2 species